CCUACGGGAGGCAGCAGUGGGGAAUAUUGCACAAUGGGGGAAACCCUGAUGCAGCAACGCCGCGUGAGUGAAGAAGUAUUUCGGUAUUUAAAGCUCUAUCAGCAGGGAAGAGAAUGACGGUACGUGACUAAGAAGCCCCAGCUAACUACGUGCCAGCAUCCGCGGUAAUACGUAGGGCGCGAGCGUUAUCCGGAUUUACUGGGUGUAAAGGGAGCGUAAACGGGUCUGCAAGUCUGAAGUGAAAAUCCGUGGCUUAACCGCGGAACGGCUUUUGAAACUGUGGAACUGGAGUGCUGGAGAGGCAAGCGGAAUUCGUAGUGUAGCGGUGAAAUGCGUAGAUAUUACGAGGAAAACCAGUUGCGAAGGCGGCUUGCUGGCCAGUAACUGACGUUGAGGCUCGAAAGCGUGGGGAGCAAACAGGAUUAGAUACCCUUGUAGUC
rnacentral:rRNA from 1 species